GGCCAAACGCGGCCGUGGCCUCCCUACGUCCGCCCACGUCCAAAUCGGGGCUGUGAACAGUGCAAGACACCGAGCCUCCACGGCCCUCAGGGGGCCUCGCACUGGUAGGACUCGGAGGAAUGCUCAGGAGUCACAUGAAGAAAAAGCAGGACACUGGAGUUUGAUGGCUGGAGUCUGGGCAGCAGCUGUUUGUCUAUGUGAAGGCAGGACAGACAUCCACACGACACCAGGAGCUGUGUGGGUCGGCCUCAAGAGGUGGAGGACCCUGGUAGCCUGCAGCAGAAGCCUGUGCUGCAUCCUGGUGGAGCGGAGUGUAGCGCCCACCUGCUGAAUCCUCCUUCCAUGCAGAGCUUAGGCUGAAACCAGAAGGGUGAAGAUCCCGACUCUCAAGGUCCCAGAAGCACUGGGAGCCCCAAACACCGCCUGACCACUUCUUUUGCCGUAACUACGCUGAGACUAGUCCAGAUUCAGAGCUGAAGGCAAUAAGGAAGGCUUCUGAACUGCUUGGCUACAGACCAAGUGGUUCACUUAGGUCUUGACUUUUGAAAAAUUGUGUUAAAAACAUAUAAUAAUCUAAAACUUAGGCUAUGCUCACUUGUCUGGUUCUAGAAGUUUGAUUACGAAAUUUGUUUGUUAAGAGCACCUUCCCCGUUUAGCUUUGAGGCAUGACAGCUGUCCUUGUGAAACAAGUAGAUAAAUGAGUUCUUUCUGUU
ensembl:antisense Gm12446 predicted gene 12446